rnacentral:rRNA from 1 species
GUUGAACGCUGGCGGCAUGCCUUACACAUGCAAGUCGAACGGAUUCAAGGGGCUUGCUCCUUGAGUUAGUGGCGAACGGGUGAGUAAUGCAUCGGAACGUGCCCAGUCGUGGGGGAUAACUACUCGAAAGAGUAGCUAAUACCGCAUACGUCCUGAGGGAGAAAGCGGGGGAUCUUCGGACCUCGCGCGAUUGGAGCGGCCGAUGUCGGAUUAGCUAGUUGGUGGGGUAAAAGCCUACCAAGGCAACGAUCCGUAGCUGGUCUGAGAGGAUGAUCAGCCACACUGGGACUGAGACACGGCCCAGACUCCUACGGGAGGCAGCAGUGGGGAAUUUUGGACAAUGGGGGAAACCCUGAUCCAGCCAUGCCGCGUGAGUGAAGAAGGCCUUCGGGUUGUAAAGCUCUUUCAGUCGGAAAGAAAUGGUUUCGGUGAAUAUCCGGAGCCGAUGACGGUACCGACAGAAGAAGCACCGGCUAACUACGUGCCAGCCGCCGCCGUAA